UGGAGCCUGACUCCUGUAGACUCUGGAAGAAGUGCAGUCACAGAACUCUCCAUGGUGAAGGGUUGUCAGAGGAGGAGGACACGUCCGACCCCAGGCCAGGGCUGUCUGCCUUCGUUAUUGCCUCCUUGUCACCUGGUUCUCCUGGCCGGUUGAUGAACUUUACCCUUGUGGCGUGUAUCCAGGGAAAACUUCUGGCCAUCUUGAGAACAUGUCCACUAUUACUAAGGUGUUUUCCUGUUUCCCUGUUUUACCUGGAAUAUGAGUGAAGUCUACCUGUAGGUUCCUACAAUAUAGGAUCUGCUCAGUGGAUAUCUUCUAUAUAAGAUCCUUCUCCUGAUUGACCCCCUCAUGGAUGGAUAGGGACAAGAUGGUGGAGAGUAUAAUAAUCUCACCCUAGAGAUCCUCUUCCGGCUUACUGGAGAGGACUACAUAGUAGUGAAGAAGACCUCUAAUGAGCGCUGUCAGGCCCUUGUGUCUGAAGAAUGGGGAAGAACCCUGAGCCCAAUCACGGGGCCUCCACCUCACCCCCUGAUGCAUGAGGAAAUCAAAAGAGAGAAGAUCCUAGAACUCGCCAACAAGAUGAUUGAGAUGCUGACUGG